UCUUUUACGGCUGAUCGAGUGAACAUUGUAUUUAAUUUUAGAUAAAACAAAAAAGGCAAAAAUUGAGAAUGUCAGUCUGUGUGCAGUUGUAUAUGUAUCAGAGGAUAUGUGUUUCCAGUAAAUCGGACACUUGUUUCUACAUUGAACUGAGGACUGGGCGAAAAGUAAGAGCAGGAACAAUGAGAUCUUUAAAUUGCCAUGAAUAUUCCACUCUUGUGUAGCGUUAUCUUUUUGGAAGCUUUACAAAAUAGUGCCUCUCAGGUAAAGUGAUUGACUUAUCUCUGAUUUAGACACUAAUUUAUGAACCUUCGCUAACGUUUCUUAACAUGGAAAGGUUUUAUAAUAUCAGUGUCGCCAAGCAAAAAAGGCACUUUAUAUCAAUAUAUAUAAACAAUUUUAUUUUGAUAUUAUGUCGAUAUAAAGAACAAGAUGUAUAUUCAUCUUCAACGCCUAAAGCACGUGUUACUUGAGUCUCUAGUGUUAGGUUAUGACUCUGUUUUAUGGAACGAUUUAUAGUUUUUUUUACUUUGGACGUGUAUAAACGGGAAGAAUAAUGACAAACCGUUCACCAGUUACACACACAGUACCGCUGUUUAUAGAUGCACGAACUGGUACGGUACAUAAUUUUACAUCAACAAAAAUCCCACUCUUGUCACUUCCAACAUUUGUCACCGUGUACUAAAAUAAGCAGAGCAGUAUGGAGACGCUGCGAAGGUUUAUAGUUUAGGUGUCUAUAUCAAGAGAUAAGUCAAUCACUUUACAUGAGAGGCAUUUUUGAAAAGCUAUCAAAAAGAUAACGCUAGAUAAAAGAGAUGAAUUCCCAUAGAAAUUUAAUGAUCUCAUUGUUCCUGCUCUUGAGUUCCGACCGGUCCACAGUUCAAUGAACAUAGUUCAUAGACGCAGGAGCGGCCUCUGAAAAACACUACCAACUUAAAAUGGCAGAACAAGUAAUUGGUGGAAAAUCUCAAGAAGAAAACUCAAGUCACCAGAGCCAGCCACAGCAGGCAUCCAGUAAUCAAGAGCACCUGGAUGAAGCCGAUCAUCUAACUAAGCUGCAGAUUGUUCGAGCUGCGUCAAGUUCCGACCCAGAGAUACCACGGCUGUUUGGGUUUGGUGGAUGCUCGCAAAAUGGUGCGGUACAAUUUGCCAACAAAGAGGUGCAUGCACUUCCGUACAUCAAUCCACCUGCAAAACCUCUCCCUGCAGUACCACGGCAUUAAUCCCCCUCUUCAUAGAAUAACGUGAUUGAUAAGGAGAUACGGUUCACAAAAAAAAAUCUAAUCUAUGAUCGUAGUUUCAAACCAACAUAAACCAGUUAGAGGGUCUCUGUGCUGAUUUUAUCACCACAUUUUUACCAAAAAUGUCAAAAAUGUUUGAAAGAAUGGUAUAAAUUCCCAUUAUGAAGUAAUUUUUAUAUCCUGCUUCAAUUUUGAACUCUGUUAGAUUUAGUAUCUGAGAUACUUUCACUGCUUUGUGACUCAUAUAUAAACCAGUAUAUGCAUUAACUGGCAAAAUUGACCAAUGUAACAAAUAACAAAUAUACAUAUUAUAUAUUUUAUACUUGAGAUUAUACAUAUUAUACUUGAAAUACUUGACUUUUUGGGUUUGAGUAUGGUUAGCAAAUUCUUUCCUCUUGAAGAUCUCCAUAGAAAUGAGAACACUAGUUUUAGAAUACAAUCAGCUUUUCUGUAUGAUUGUUGGCUACUUUUGUCCUGAGGAUUUGAUGUAUUUGAUUUAUGGAAUCCAGCAGUAUUGCACAAAUAAUUACAGAUUUAUAGACAAGAUUUCUUUAACCACAAUAUGAAAGAUAAUCAUUUAGUUACUGGCACAGAAUAAUGUAUGUUUUGAAAGUAUUUGUUUUGUUUUGAAGUGUGGGAGAAAUAUAAUAAAUACAUUGCUUUGAGUGAAAAAGUCCCACAAAAUAUCCAUUAAUUAUUCAUAUCUUUUUGCUAUCCUUUUCUAUGAAUUUGAUUAAGAUUGACUCAAAAUAAAAGAGGGUAAAUAAUCACAGAGAAACAAAUCUCUUUACAGAAUUUAUUCAUACAUAGUGCAAAACUUAGCAAAGCAAUUGACAUUUGACAUCUUUCGACCUUUGUUAUAUGGAAAAAUAUAAUUAUAUGUACAAAAUAACUUAUUCACCAACAAGGUACACUUGAAUUCAACAAUAACAUAGCAGCUCUUGAAGGGUUAUAAUAAUGUUGUUAAUAACAAUAAUAAUAAUAAAUGAUUAUGAAAGUACAGUUAUUACAAUUCUUCUAAAUGAGCUUGGCUUAAACCAUUAUUUACAAAACUGUAAUAAAUACAAUGCAAGAUUA